rnacentral:tRNA from 1 species
AGCCGAGGUAGCUCAGUUGGUAGAGCAGCUGAUUUGUAAUCAGCAGGUCGUGGGUUCGACUCCUUCCUCGGCUC